GGCAAGAUGUCCGAGUGGUCUAAGGAGCUGUGUUUAGGUUUGGUCAAUCCAUACCAUAACGAUCCGCAGUAGCGUUGCUACAGGGGUUCGAAUCCCCUUCUUGUCA